rnacentral:lncRNA from 1 species
GACAAUGACUCUUUCAGCUCAUGAUGGACUAAUAGCUGCCUUGGCUGUAUCAACUGUGUCUGGCUUGGUUGCUUCAGCUAGCCAUGACAAGAUUGUCAAGCUCUGGAAGUGAUUCAACUGUUUUUGUCAUGGUAAAAACUGCCUCUGCAAUUCAGGACUAGAUUUCUUUUCAGUGUUUGAUCAAAAGCUGGUCUAGUAUACAAAUCUAUUUUGGUUGAUCAUUCUGUCCGUUUUGUGUUUUGCCUUUUUGGAUCUCAACUUCAUCUCCUUGUAGUCCUGGAUAUUGACCUUGUAUUGUUGCUGUGUUAUGUCUAUCUUUUUACUCUUUGCUAACAUUGGACUUUCUAGUUACGUUUUUAGAAACGAUUGUGUAAUGAUUUGUACUCUAUAAAAAGGUAUGUGUUUUAGUUCCUGAUAGUCUUUCUAUUUUGUUUAUUCUAAUUUAUAUUGUUUCAUUUGAGACCAUGCCCUUCUGGAUACCAAACAUGGUUUUACAUUGGCUCAGCAAACUUGGGUUUUGCCUGAACUUUAUCUUGGUUCAUUCUAAGGUUUUAGCCAAAUAUGAAUUUGAUCAUCGAAUCGUAAUUUCCUGACCAAUCUCGAAACCAUGAUCAAAAUUCGAAACGAUUCUUUGUCCCCUCAAUCUCAUUCUCUUCAAGAAGAGGAAUGAAAGGGAAAGGUUACAUGGGCCCGACUGAUUCAUGAGCCAGUCAUGGGUGCUGUUGGACUGAAUCAGCUCCGAUCUGUCAUCCUAUGUGUAUCUUCAAAGGGCCCAUUAUGUUUUAGAUCUUUAUUCUCUUCAAGAUGUAUUUUCAUAUUUUGUCAGCUCUAUUUUGUUUGUGUAUCAAAAUCACUAUGUGCUCGGUUGUCGAAUGUACUUGGCUGUCAAAUGUACAGAAUCAUUUUUUCAAUUUAUUUUUGCCAUAGUUUCAAAUGGGUUCAUUGGACAGGACAUGGUUGUCAUGUUGUGCAAGGAAAUGUUUUCUUGUUGGUAGUUAGAAACCAGAAUUGAGCCUAUAGGCAACAGACUAAGUUUUCCUCCAGCAUUUAUUUCAUUGAUGGCCAUGGGCUGCGAGCAAAAAGUACCACCCUUGAUAGGAUUUGCCCAACAAUUAUAUCUGUACCACUUCUGCAGAUUGGGUAAAACAAGGUCUCCUGCACUGGAGUCUUCUGCUAUCAGAAACUAACACACUGCUUAACAUUAGAAACUGGUUAGAAUUUUUACCCGCGAUCUGCAUUUGCAUUCUGAACAUUGUUGUUUUAUGCUUGAAUUGUGAAAAACCCUCGGAAUUUCUAACGUAAAAACAUGGAUGUUCUGAAAGGAUGGUUGUGACUGAUGAGAGUCCCUUUUUCAGUCCUCUUGAUUAGUUGGAGUUGAAAUAAAAUGGAAAGUAAGAUCUUGGCAUUGUCCUCCCUGUUCAAACAUGGACAGUCACUGGGUAUCAUCAUCACCAAUCUGUCUCAUUAUCAGUUUCUUUAGUUUAAACCAUGAGACUAGAAUCAAUGUUCGGAACCCGCAGGUGGGUUAUCAAGAUUAAUCAUGGGGACCAUUGGUAGAUGAUAUAAUCAAUCAAAGCAUUCUUUCCCCUUCCCGUUUCCUCUCUUCUCAAGCAAACAUCAUAUGAUUACAGUAGGAGUAGGUAAAACAUUCAAGAUAAUGCAAAGGCUAGCUCCUAAAAUCCACUCUACCUGGGUCAUUGAUGAUAACACCUGGGCUGAAGCAGAAAAUGAAAUGAUACAUGCAUCCUCUUCAGGAAUGUCCUUGUGUGAGGUGACCAUUUGUUUUUCUUUGCUUGGGAGUUGGAAUCCAUGUACCCAAUAUCUUCUAUACUUUUUGUUGGGGUCUCCAUCUUCUCUGAUUGAGUAAAAUAUCCUGCUUUGAUUUGAGGGGAGGAAAAAAAAAUGAAGAAAUUAUUUUUAAUUCAUUUUGAUUACCUAUUGUCAUGGUGUUGGUGACUGAAUGAGGUACAAAAUUAUUAAAAUAAGCAGAAUUCAUUUUUAUAAUACUUUCUUCGAUUUUUUUUUUUUUUUUUUGGUUGCAAUCAUCACUUAAAAAAUGUUGUGCAGUUGAGAAAUAAUGAAAUUUAUUCAAUAUAAAUAAAGAUCCAUUUUAUAAUUGUGUUAGAAUGAUUUGAUAUACGUUUCAAUUAAUAAACGAGAUAAAUUAGAUUGUGUAUGAAUUGAUACAAAUAACUCAUUAAUAUGUCUUAAUUAAUAAAUGAGAUAAGUUAGAUGGUGUAUAAAUUGAUAUUGAUAAUCUGUAAAUAUGGUUUCAACUUGUUAAAUGUCUUGGUACGAUUUUAACUUCUUAAAUUUGUUAAUAUGUUUAUAGUCCAUUUAACUUAUUUAAAAUGCUUUGUUUCUUUUAACUUUGAAGUUCAACUUUUAAAAUUUUAAUUAAUUCAAUUGCUUAUAAAUAAAUUUUUUAACUUUACACUGGUUAUCAUUUUCAAUGUUUUUAGAACUUGACCAGUUAUUGAAUCACAAAAGUUGUCGGUUCGGUGGUUGAAUUAUGAUUAAAUUGAUAAUGUCAUAAAUAUAUAAUUUAUAUAUUAUUAAAAUUAAAAAUAAUUAUAUAUAUUUUAAAAUAUAUAUAAAUAAAUUAAAAAAAUCAAUAAUAUUUAUUUUUUAUCUUAUGUAUGAGUAUAAAUGUAUUAAUAUUUUAAAUUUUAAUAAAUAAAAUAUGUAUAAUAUUUAAAUGUGAACAUAUUAAAAAUGAAAAACAAUUUAAUUAUUCAAUUUUAACUAAUUUUAUUUAAUUUUAAAAAAUUUAUAUUAUUUUUAUGUGAUAUUAUAAUUUUUUUUAUUAAACAUUAUAUUUCUUUAUAAAAAAUAACAAGUUGGAUGUAGUCGAGUGGUGUGUUAGCUCAUUUAAUGAGUUUGAGGUUGAGGUUUAAAUCUUUUAAGGAAUUGGAGAGGGUUGGGUUUAUUUUAAUGAAUAAAAGGAGGGGUCAUUAAAUCGUUUGGUUUUCUCUGAGGGUUUGUUUGAAUGGAUAAAAGAAGCAUUGAACAGUUUGAUUUGCCAAUUAUUGUCCGAUUCAUUGGUGCAAUUCAGGCAGUUCGUGGUCGGUUCAAUGGCUAAGUAGUUCAUAAGAUCAAAUUGAAUCGAAAGGGUUAUCGAUCGGUUGUUGGAUUGAUCCAUCCAGUCUAGUUUUCAAAAUAUUGAUUAUUUUAUUUAUAAUAAAAUCAAUAAAAUUUUACUAGAUUAGUUAUUUAAUUUUUUUUUUUACUAUAUGAGAAUUUUUAAUUUUUUUAAUUUUAUAUAUAUAUAUAUAGUCAUAAAUGAGUUGACAUGAUGAAAUAAAUUUAUUGAAGUUAUAGAGGGGUCACGAUUAAGUAAACGAGUUAUAUAAUUUGACACAAUUAUAAACAAUAUUACCCUUAACAUAAACUCACUAAAAUUUAUAUAGUUUUGAAUUGUAUUACUAUAUCAUGUUAAAAUUAUCGUCCCUAAAUUUUAACCUUAACAUUAAUUCGCUCUUUGAGAUUUGAGAAAGAAUACAAAGGUGACCUUAACCAUGAAAUAAACCAAAAUGAAGCAUUUUUCAAUGAGAAAACAUAAUCCCCCACCCAACAUAAUUUGGACUUUGGCCUCUCCCUCUCCUGUUUUAUCAUAUCAAGGGCGUUUGAUGAGGUCUUAUAAUUGUUUAGAAAGAAAUAUUCUCUUCAAAUUGAUAAAUGAUAGUUUUUUUUCCAUCAUUCUUUCAUUCGUUCAUAUACAGAGUAUAUAUAGAGGAUAAUCACCAUUCUAAAAAUGGAAAAAAAUGAUACAAGCAAAUAACAACUAAUAUCCUAAUAUCUCAACUUUCCUAAUAUCUCGAUAUUCCUAAUAUCUCAAUAUUUCUAAUAUCUCAAUAUUCAUAAUAUCUCAAUUUUCUUAAUAUCUAAAUAUUCCUAAUAUUUCAACACUAAAUGAUAUAACGAAACAUUCCUAAUAUCUCAACAUAUUCAAGGGUUCAUCAAAUCAUCCAUGACCUCUAAUCCUCGAGAAAAAUGGAUAUGAAUCUUAAUGGGCACCUAAUGAAUGAGUGUUGGACCCACUGGAUCUCACACUCCACACCCUGCAUUCUCUUGUGGAACCGAAUUUCCUCAGCACGGGGCUAUGAAUCUGAAUUCAAGCCCACUCUUCAAACUGUGACAGUUUUGUGAAUGAUGCAAUGAUUUAGAAGUAGCAGUUCCCUGUGUUUAAUAAAUUUUACUCCUAACCGAUCCCAUCUGCCCUUUUCAUCACCGGGCUCACUUGCAUUGCCUGUAGUUUGCAUGGCGGUUUGGCCCUUCCACUUGAGCACCAAUCAAUUUCUACACUGGAUUGAAAGCAUAGUUUUAACUGCUCAGGUGAUAAAAAGAACAUAUCAAGGAGAGAAGUGCCGACGUUAAACCUUUUUCUCUCUUUCCCUUCUCGGUCAGGGAGUGGGGUGGGGUAGAAUGAGGGAGGUGGUAUUUCAGACAUGUCAGAGCUGGUCUGGAAUAUAAACUUCGUAGGAUUACAUUAUUGUUUUUUGAUAGGCUUCUUAGGAUUACAGUUUUGAUUGGGUCCUAAUAUAAUUCCCUGGCCUUGAUGCAUUUUAAGGCUUCAAAAGACCAGACUGGGAGAAAGUGAAAGCAGCCUGUUACAUCUUCUGGUCCAACCAAUAAGCUCAGGACUGCAAGCGCAGCAGGACCCUCCCAAGCUCAGCACACAGUGGUUGCUCUUCAAAACCAUUGAUGAUGUUGGGCACUGAUGGUACUGGAACUCUUACAUAACCGUCGUAUCAGUUGGUGAGCAAAGUCUUUACCUUCUUGUAUUUACAGAAGGGAUUUUUUAUUUACUCGCAUGAAUUCUCAAUGGUAUUCCUUUUUGGCAGUGGGAUGAUAAAAAUCUUGAAUUGCAGGCUGAUAUGGAUCGUUUUGUGGGAGACGGUUCCCUUGAUGAUAAUGUCGAGUCUUUUUUAUCUCAUGAUGAUACAGAAGUAAAGGUGAGGUGGUGGCCAGAUUUCUGGACCGUUUAGGAAAAUCUAACAGGCCUUAUAAGAGACCUGGGUCUUUUUCCAAAUGUGACUGAAAAAAGAGCUUCUAGCUCCCUCAGUCAUUCCCUCUGCAUUUCUGUACGUAUCAGCAGAACUGUCAAGAUAGUCUCUCCAUCGUUGAGGAGUUCCUCCUAACUAACAUUUUUCACUCUGCAACAAGUAACAACCUCUGUAUGUAAAAAGAAAACAUUGACGGUCUUAAUUGCUGCUUACACAUUUCGAUGUUUCUACAUACUGCUAUUUAGCUCCCAUGAUUAGUAGGCUUCCAAAAUUGGCUGACUAAAAAUAUUUCUGACUCUCUUCUCCUGAUUGAUGGAUAAUGUCUCAGGAGGCAUUUGAAUAUCAACGUAGCUCCUCUUUCCUAUUCACCUUGGUUGUGAACUUUUGAAGCUGAAUCAUUAUAGAGGCUCGAAGCAUGAAUUGAAGCUCUUUCUGUUGGAAGAAUAUUUUGGUGUCUCAUAUCCAUUUUGUGAUGAUGGCAUCCUAGUUUUUGAUAUUUUUUUUAUUAUCUGGUGUUUGAAAACCAGUAGGCCCGAAUCUUGGUGAAAUCCGAAGGGAAGGACUUACCUGAAUCGCUACAGGUGGUGGUAGGCUUUUCUUGUUUUGCCGUUCGGUAGUGGUGGAUGUUAGAACUCAACCAAGAUGAAUACCCUAAUUUCAUAUAUACUGGAAUAAUCUUGUUAAAAUCAACCAAAAUGAAUACCCUAAUUUCAUAUAUACUGGAAUAGUUAACAAGGUAAAUACCCUAAUUUCAUAUAUAUUGGAAUAUUUAACAGGGUGAAUACCCUAAUUUCAUAUAUACUGGAAUCUCCUGAUUAAAAACAAUGAGUAGAAAAAUAAUAGCGGAAACAUACCUGAAUCCAUUGAAGGAGAAACCUUAUAGGAAGAAAACCCUUUGAGAUGGUCUUCCAAUUCUAGCCACUAGAUUCUGUGUCAAUUUUUCUCUGAGAGGAUUUUCAGAAAUUGGAAUGCGUAGUCGUAGAAUGGGGACCAUAACCCUAUUUAUAAACUGCUAGGGCAGUUUUAAUUUUAUCACAAUUAUAUUUCUGCCCCUCAUAGAAAUAAUAAUUGUCUAAUGGUAUCUACACAAUAAUCUCAUGACAAUUAUACCCUUAAGCCAAUUAAUCAAUUAUUAAUUAGAUCACUAUAUUUAGGCUUAAUUAAAUGAUAGCACACACAUUUUAAUUAUUUACAUGUGUGGCCCAAAUUAUAGAUUAAUUACAAAAAUUAAUCUAACAAUCUCCCACUGGGCCACAUGCAUAUGUAAUCAAAUAAAUGUGCUUAACCUUAUGAGCUCAAAAUUUGCUAUCAUGUCCUUAGGGUANNNNNNNNNNNNNNNNNNNNNNNNNNNNNNNNNNNNNNNNNNNNNNNNNNNNNNNNNNNNNNNNNNNNNNNNNNNNNNNNNNNNNNNNNNNNNNNNNNNNAUUAUUUACAUGUGUGGCCCAAAUUAUAGAUUAAUUACAAAAAUUAAUCUAACAAUCUCCCACUGGGCCACAUGCAUAUGUAAUCAAAUAAAUGUGCUUAACCUUAUGAGCUCAAAAUUUGCUAUCAUGUCCUUAGGGUAUAUCCGAACAAUCUCGUCCAUUAACUAUACUGACAUAGGAUCAAGGUGGCCUUUGUUACAUCAAUCGUUACUAGACCAAUCAAUGGUCACAUAUAUCUGCACAACUAAAUGACAUAGAUCAAUCAUGAGUGCAUAGCAUGGAAAUUACAUGCAAUGUGAUCUAUUCAUGCCUAUUUCCAACUGGUCCAACUUAACUUUAUUGAGAUCAAAUCUUUAGCAUAAUUUAACAGAGUGUAAUAAAAUAAAUACUUUAUUUCUGCAGAACACAAUCCAAAUGUAUAGAUAAAGUCUAAACAUAACAUAGAGCAAUAUACAAUGAAUAAUACAAACUCCCACUAAAUUUGGAUAUCCUCAAAUGAGGCAACACCCAUAUGAGCAGUGUGCUCAUGAAAGACCUUGGGUGGUAAUCCCUUUGUAAGCGGAUCCGCUAUCAUGGAGUUUGUUCCAAUAUGCUCUAUGGAUAUCUGUCCACUCUGUACCUUUUCUUUUACAACUAGGAACUUGAUAUCAAUGUAUUUUGAUUUUGUAGAACUCCUGUUGUUAUUGGAAUAUAAAACUGCUGAUUUAUUGUCACAAAAUAUCUUCAGUGGUCUUUCAAUACCAUCCAAAACACGCAGCCCAGUGACAAAAUUUCGUAGCCAUAUUCCUUGAUUGGAUGCCUCAUAACAUGCUACAAACUCUGCUUCCAUGGUGGAUGAAGUUACGAGUGUCUGUUUGGCAGACCUCCAUGAAAUUGCUCCACCAGCCAACAGAUAAAUAUAGCCUGAUGUGGAUCUUCUGCUGUCUUGGCAUCCAGCAAAGUCGGAGUCGGAAUACCCAAUCAACUCUAACUGAUCCAAUCUCCUAUAUGUAAGCAUGUACUCUUUUGUUCUCUGUAAAUAUCUCAUAACCCUCUUGGCUGCUUUCCAAUGAUCCAUUCCAGGGUUACUUAGAUAUCUGCCUAACAUGCCAACAAUGUACGCAAUAUCCGGACGUGUACAUACCUGAGCAUACAUUAGACUCCCCACAGCUGAAGCGUAAGGAAUCUUCUGCAUUUCUUGACUUUCUAAACUAUUUUUGGGGCAUUGAUUAAGACUGAAUUUGUCUCCUUUAGCGACAGGGGUAUCACCUGGUUUGCUAUUUUGCAUGCCAUACCUUUGGAGGACUUUAUCAAUAUAGGUCCUUUGUGACAAUCCUAAAAUACCCCUAGAACGAUCUCGGUGUAUCUGGAUUCCUAAGACAAAGGAGGCAUCACCAAGAUCUUUCAUCUCAAAAUGUUUUGAUAAAAAUCUCUUGGUGUCGUGCAAUAUGCUGAUAUCAUUUGUGGCUAGCAAUAUGUCAUCGACAUAUAAAACCAGGAAAAUAUACUUACUCCCACUGAAUUUGUGAUACACACAUUCAUCCAUAAGAUUUGCCUCAAAACCAUAUGAGACAAUAAUUUGAUGAAACUUGAAGUACCACUGACGAGAAGCUUGCUUGAGCCCAUAAAUGGAUUUAGUUAAUUUACAAACCAUAUUCUUUGAGUCUUCGGACACAAAAUUUUCUGGUUGUACCAUAUAAAUUGUUUCAUCAAUGUCACCAUUGAGAAACGCUGUUUUAACAUCCAUUUGAUGUAACUCAAGAUCAUAAUGUGCAACUAGUACCAUGAUUAUCCUGAAAGAGUCCUUCGUAGAAACUGGAGAGAAGGUCUCUUUGAAGUCAAUUCCUUCUUUUUGAGUAAAGCCUUUAGCUACAAGACGUGCUUUAUAUCUUUCUACAUUACCAUUUGAAUCCCGCUUGGUUUUAAAUAUCCAUUUACAACCAAUGGGCUUCGUACCAACUGGUAAUGGGACAAGUUCCCAAACUUUAUUGUCUUGCAUAGAUUUGUACUCUUCAUUCAUGGCUUCAAUCCAUUUAUGAGAGUUGGAACUUUUCAUGGCUUGUUGGAAGUUGAUUGGAUCAUCUUCCAUCAUUCCACUUUCUACCUCACGUUCCUGGAGAUAUACGAUAUAAUCGUCCGAAAUUGCAUUUCUCCUCUCUCUAGUGGAUCUCCUUAAUGGCAUAUUUUCUUGAGGUUGUUGAGUUUGUUCUUCAGGAGCAAUGUCCUCAUUUGCAAUUAAGGGUUGAACAAUAUUGUCUGUUGGUUGAGGAUCCAAAUUUACUUCUUGAUCAAUGAUAGGUAGUGAAACCUGUACAUUAUCAAAAGCAAUAGUAGAUCCCUCUUCCUCCUCAAAGACAAUAUUCCUAGCCUGAUUUCUCCCCCCAAACUCAACAUCCUCAAAAAAUGUUGCAGUUCCCGUCUAAAAAAUUGACCUAAUAGCAGGAUCAUAAAAUUUAAAACCCCUUGAUCGCUCUGCAUAGCCAAUAAAGUAGCUACUAACUGUUUUAGAGUCCAAUUUCUUUUCAUGAGGCUUAUAAGGUCUCGCUUCAGCUGGACAUCCCCAAAUAUGAAAAUGCUUUAAACUGGGCUUUCGACCCGUCCAAAGCUCAUAAGGCGUUUUAGCAGCCGCUUUAGUUGGCACCCGAUUUAGGAUAUAAGCUGCCGUUUUGAGUGCUUCACCCCAGAGUUUUUCGGGUAAAGUAGAAUGACUAAUCAUACUCCUUACCAUGUCCUUAAGGGUUCGGUUUCGUCUUUCUGCUACACCAUUCAUGCUAGGUGAUCCUGGCAUGGUGUAUUGAGGGACGAUCCCACAUUCCUCUAGGUAUUUAGCAAAUGGUCCUGGACGUUGUUCACCUGAUCCGUCAUAUCUACCAUAGUAUUCACCACCACGGUCAGAUCUGACGCUCUUUAUUCUUUUGUUGAGUUGUAACUCAACUUCUGCUUUAAAUGUUUUGAACACGUCCAAUGAUUGUGAUUUCUCAUGUAUAAGAAAUAGGUAGUCAUAUCUUGAAUAGUCGUCUAUGAAUGUUAUAAAGUACUGUUGACCAUUCCAAGAUGCCGUAGGGUAUGGUCCACAGAUAUCUGUAUGAAUUAAUUCUAAGACGUCUGUAGCUCUAUUGGCACCUAAUUUCUUUGUUUUGGUCUGUUUUCCUUUAAUACACUCAACACAAAUAUCAAAAUCUGAAAAGUCAAGUGAAUCCAAAAUCCCAUCGGACACAAGUCGCUCAACUCUAGAUUUAGAGAUAUGACCUAGGCGUUUGUGCCACAAUGAGGCCGAAUUAUCUUUAUUCAAUUUACGUUUUGUACCUCGUGAUUCCACAUGCAAGGUUUCAUUAUAGGACGGAACAGUUUCCAACAAAUAUAGAUUAUCAUAAACAUUAAGUAAACCGGUUCCUACAGCAUUUGAAUUAAUAGAUAAUGUAAAUUUAUUGUUUCCAAAUGAACAACAAUAACCUGAUUUGUCCAAAACAGAAACUGAAAUUAAAUUCCGUCUGAAAGACGGUACAAUAAAAGUAUCUAUUAAAUCCAAAAAAUAACCAGAUUUCAAUAAUAAUCUAAAGUGCCCUAUUGCCUCUACUUCUACCGACUGACCGUCUCCGACAUAGAUGCAUCUUUCAGCAUCACUUGGUUUUCGGUAACUCAGACAACCCUGCAUAGAAACACAAAUGUGAGUAGUAGCACCAGAAUCUAACCACCAUGUGUUUCUAGAUACUGAAGCUAAAUUAACUUCAGAACAGACCAAAGUAAGAAACAUACCUUUCUUAACACGCCAAGCAGCAUACUUGGUACAUUCCUUCUUAGUAUGUCCAGGCUUAUUACAGAAGAAACAUGUUACCUCAACUUUCUGUUUCUUUUGUUCUGGACCAUUAGAAGCAGCAACCUUAUUAUCCUUAUUCUUUCGUUUGCCCUUAUCCUUGGAAAUGCUAGCCAGAUGAGCACUUUCGGUCUUGUCUUGCUUCAAUCUCUCUUCCUCUUGCACACAGAAUGAAAUGAGCUCAUUAAGAGUCCAUUUAUCCUUUUGACAGUUAUAACUGACCUUGAAUUGAUUAAAUUGUGCAGGAAGAGAUAUGAGAACCAAAUGCACGAGUAAAUCAUCAGAUAACUCGAGUUUCAAAGCCUUAAGUUUUGAAGCAAGAUGAGACAUCUCCAUGAUGUACUCCCGAACAUUACCCUUGCCUUUAUACUUCAUUGAAAUCAAGCUUGCUAAAAGCGUGCUCGUUUCAGCCUUAUCGUUUUUGGCAAAACGUUUCUGAAUUUCCGCAAGGAAGUCACUGGCAUUAGUAACCUCAUCGGUUACCGCACCCCUGAAAGCUUCUGGAAUGCCGCGCUUCAUGAUCAUAAGACUUAGCCUAUUUGAACGUUCCCACUUACCCCAAUAAACCUCAUCCUCUUGAGUACUUUGCUCAUUGAGUUCAUCAGGUUUGGGCAUUCUCAAGGCCAAGUCUAUAUCCAUGCAGCCUAAGAGAAUCAUCAUAUUCUCUUUCCAGUCCUUAAAAUUAGUCCCAUUUAACAUAGGGACAUUAUUGAUGUUGACAGAUAUAGAAGUAGUUGAUAUAAAAGCUGAAUUGAGAACAAAAUAAAAUGAAUCAAAUAAACCAUCAUGCUCACAUAAAAUAAGCAAUUAAACACAUAAUCUUUAAAUUUAAAAGCAAAUUAUGACAUUUCAAGAUACCUAGCACAACAUUAAUAUCAAGUCUUUGGACAGUAAUAUUAACUGUAAGUGGUACUCUUGUUGUAGUGAUCAAACAUUGAUGAUAAGUUAUGUCAAAUAAUAAAUCUAUCUUUGGAUUGAUUUAUUAUUUAAGUUACCUUUAUAAUCAUCACAUAUUUAUCACCACAAGUAUGUAUGCAAUUUGACCAAAUAUUAACUUUCCUUUGGGCCAGUCAAUACCCGCAUGAAUCACAUACACACAAAUAUCUAACACCCCGAACAGACUAAUCUACACGGAAGAUGUCACUUUGGUGAUUUUCCGCUUUAAUUAGCCUAUUUAAAAUGCUAGAUCAAUAACUUAAAUAUUAAUAUCAUAAAAUGCUAUUAAAUAAUAAUAAUAAUAAUAAUACUAAUAAUAAUAAAAAAUUUAUCAACUCAAUAUUUCAUAAAUCUUAAUCCAUUGACAUAUAUAUAUAUAUAUAUAUAUAUAUAUUAAAAUAAUAACUCAAAGAAUUAAUCAAGGAGUAGGCUCUGAUACCACUUGUUAGAACUCAACCAAGAUGAAUACCCUAAUUUCAUAUAUACUGGAAUAGUCUUGUUAAAAUCAACCAAAAUGAAUACCCUAAUUUCAUAUAUACUGGAAUAGUUAACAAGGUAAAUACCCUAAUUUCAUAUAUAUUGGAAUAUUUAACAGGGUGAAUACCCUAAUUUCAUAUAUACUGGAAUCUCCUGAUUAAAAACAAUGAGUAGAAAAAUAAUAGCGGAAGCAUACCUGAAUCCAUUGAAGGAGAAACCUUAUAGGAAGAAAACCCUUUGAGAUGGUCUUCCAAUUCUAGCCACUAAAUUCUGUGUCAAUUUUUCUCUGAGAGGAUUUUCAGAAAUUGGAAUGCGUAGUCGUAGAAUGGGGACCAUAACCCUAUUUAUAAACUGCUAGGGCAGUUUUAAUUUUAUCACAAUUAUAUUUCUGCCCCUCAUAGAAAUAAUAAUUGUCUAAUGGUAUCUACACAAUAAUCUCAUGACAAUUAUACUCUUAAGCCAAUUAAUCAAUUAUUAAUUAGAUCACUAUAUUUAGGCUUAAUUAAAUGAUAGCACACACAUUUUAAUUAUUUACAUGUGUGGCCCAAAUUAUAGAUUAAUUACAAAAAUUAAUCUAACAGUGGAAGCUCCACUCGCCCUGGGUUUCUCAUGUGGUUCCGAUGAAUGGAUCGUGCGGGAGCUUUGGGCGGGAGGUUAGGGAUGAAGAAGAGGUAAGUUCAAGCGCUGGUGUAAGCGUGAGGGAGAGGUAGCCGCUUCUGCAGACUGCUGAGAUUCAUGCGUUGAUUGAGUGUGGAGGAAGGACGGGGGUUGCAGGCGGUGCUGGUGGUGGGCCAGCAAAAGUGACUGUGGAUGGGACAGAGAAAGGUGGUGGGCCAGAUGGCAGUGUUCGAGGUGUGGGAGGGUGAUGAGUUGGGCCUAGGUUUGGAUUUAGACUAUGAAGCCUCCGGACUGUGCCUCUUGGUCUGUGGGCAAAGAAGGUGCCGGCCGAUGGAACCACGUGCGUCGAGGGGAUGGCAGCAAGCCGAUCGGGGAUCACCGACUUCGCUGAUGCAUCCAGGUACCCCGUUCUUCACUCUCGUCCUCUCUUUUCUUUGGGCUUACGGGGUCUCUCUUGCUCUACUCCUUUCUUGUUGCCCUCAAGAGGAAGAGGGAGAGCCGUCAGAAGGGUGGUCCUCCAGUUGCCUGGCUAAGUUUAGCCGGUGCUUAGGCAUGCUGACAGAGGAUUUUGAAGAGAAGAUUCUGUACCUUCUUGGGAGGAUGAAAGCGAGAAUUGACCAAAGAGGUCAGGAAGGGGCUAAAAGAAGGGCGAAUUCCUUGUCUUCAAGGUUCGGAAGGGAACUCAAGAAGCUUGAAUGGGGCAGUGACAUAUAAGGGUUGAGGAGCGGGUUGGGCAAAUAUGGUGGGGCCUCUGUUUCGGGAUGCGGAUGAAGAUAAGAAUCCUGUCAUGGAAUGUGAGAGGGGCGAAUGAUAGUGGCAAAAGGAAGAUUGUUGAAUCCUUGGUCUAGUCGCAAAGGAUGGAUGUGGUUUGUUUCCUGGAAACCAAAAUUCAUGAGAUGUCUGGUGGGCUUGUACGUGGCCUUGGGUGGGCAGAUGUUUAGAGUGGAGUGCCCUCAAUUGAGGGGUGCAGCAGGAGGUAUUCUGGUGUUCUGGGAUAACAGGGUGCUUGAAUUAGUUGGAUUGGAAGCGGGGAUGUACUUGAUUUCGUGCCAUUUUAAGAAUUGCGAGGAUAGUGGUUUCUGGAUUUUUAUUGAGGGUGUAUGGCCUGGUGUGCAGAGGAACAGGGAGAGUUUCUGGGAUGAGCUUGGGGUAAUUAGGGGUUGAUGGAGUGAUCCUUGGUGAAUCCAGGUGAUUUCAAGCGUAGUAGGGGAGGAGGCCUUUACCCAGCCAUGAGGAGAUUUUCAAAGGUCAAAGAGGAGUUGGAGUUGAGAGACAUCCCUUUGCUAGGGGUCCUUCACCUGGAGUGGUGGGUUGAAUAAUCAGUCCUAGUCUAGAUUUGAUUGGUUGUUGGUGUCAAAAGAUUGGGAUAACCUUUUCAACGGGACCUUGCAGUGUGUUUUACCCAGACCAGUAUCUGAUCAUUUUCCCAAUCUGUUAGAUGAGGGAGGCCUGAGGAGGGGACGUUCAUAUUUGAGAAUAUGUGGUUGGAGUAGGAGGGUUUCAAAGAAUUGCUGAAAAAUUGGUGGGUGGGUCUUAAUUUUAAUGGGUCCCAUAGUUUUGUUUUGACUGCCAAACUGAGAGCUCUAAAAGCAGUCUUGAAAUCCUGGAAUAAAGAUGUUUUUGGCAUUAUUGAAGCUAGAAAGGGAGCGAUGCUCAAUCAAGUGGCGUUUUGGGACAAAAGGAGAGGGUUACAACACUGUCCAUGGAAGAGGUUGAAGCUAGAAAUGAGGCAAGGAAGGAUUAUAAAAAGUGGGUUCUUAGGGAGGAAAUUGCGUGGAGGUAGAAAUCAAGGGAAGUGUGGUUGAAGGAGGGUGACAUUAACACCAGUUUUUUUCCAUAAGAUGACAAAUGCCCACAAAAGGAGAAACUGGAUGGCCAAGGUUUAAAGUGAAUGGUAGUUGGCUUAAUGAGGAGAAUGAAAUAAAAGAUGGUGCGGUUGGGGCUUUUCGGAACCUCUUGACCGAGGUAGAAGAGUGGAGACCCAUUAUAGGUGGUUUGUCUUUUUAGUGUCUAGAAGACUAAGGCUGCAAGGCUAGAGCAUCCAUUGGUUUUCACUGCUCUUUUAGAUCUAGGCAAGGAGAAAGUGCCAGGUCCAGAUGGGUAUACUACGACAUUUUGGCUUUUUAGUUGGGAGUUUGUGAAGGAAGAGGUGAUGAUGGGAUUUUUUAGCGAGUUCUAUGAGGAAGGCAGAUUUGUUAAGUUCUUGAAUGCCACUUUUCUGGUUCUAAUUCUGAAGAAAGGUGGUGUUGAAGACUUGAGAGAUUUUAGGCCAAUUAGCCUAUUGGGCAGCCUCUAUUAGCUGUGGGGCUAGGUUUUAGUCAAUAAACUUAAGAAGGUAAUGGACAAAGUGAUCACUGAAUCCCAAAAUGCAUUUGUUAAGGGGAGACAAAUUUUGGAUGCAUUUUUGAUUGCUAAUGAGGUUGUAGACUUAAGAUUGUAAAACAAUGAAUGUGGUGUUCUUUGUAAGCUUGAGAAGGUGUAUGAUAAUGUAAACUAGAAUUUCUUGCUUUCAGUGUUAAGAAAGAUGGGAUUUGGGAAGAAAUGGAUUAAAUAGAUAGAAUAGUGUAUCUCAAAAGCAGAGUUCUCUGUUCUUGUCAAUGGAUUCCUAAUCGGUUUUUUUCAAAGCUCUAGGGGCUUGAGAUAAGGGGACCCUUUCUCUCCCUAUUUAUUUGUGAUUGCUAUAGAAGUUUUUAGCUGUCUCUUGAAGAGGUCGUAGAGUGGUGGCUAUUUGGGUGAUGGGUGAGGGGUAGGGGAGGGGAUGAGAUUCAGAUCUCUCAUUUAUUAUUUAUUGAUGAUACUCUUGUGUUUUGUGAGGCAUCACAGGAUCAAAUGACUUAUUUGAGUUGACUAUUUAUGUGGUUCAAGGCCAAUUAUAGAUUGAGAAUUAACUUGGAAAAAAGUGAGUUAAUUCGUGUGGGGUGGGUUUGCAACAUAGAUGAAUUGGUCAUGGAGUUAGGUUGUAAGGUGGGCAGUGUGGUCUUGCAUUUUUCAUUACCGGGAUGUUAACUUAUAUGGGUCAAGGGCAAAAUGAGGGGUCUACAAUGGUCUUUCCUCUUUUUACUUAGGUCUUCCUUUGGAGGCUUUCUCACUCUAAUUCGAAGUACUCUUUCUAGUAUGCCCAUCUAUUUUAUUUCUCUCUUUUGCAUGUCAAAGCAGAUUAGACUAAGGUUGGAGAAAAUUUAGAGGGAUUUUCUUUAAGGUGGUGGGGCUCCUGUGCAGAAACUUCAUUAAGAUGGAAAAUGGUAUGUUCAAAGAGAAAGAAAGGGGGCUUGGGUGUGAGAUGUCUAUUAACAAUGAACAAAGCCCUUACUUAUCAAAAAAAAAAAACAAUGAACAAAGCCCUACUUUGCAAGUGGAGCUGACGUUUUGCCAAUGAAAGAGAGGCACUUUGGAAGCAAGUUAUUAGUUAGAAGUAUGGUGAAGAUGAAGGGGGGUGGCAAUCUUGUGAGGUGAGAGAUAGGUAUGGUGUUGGCCUUUGGAAAGCCAUAAGAAAGUAGUGAGAUCUUUUAAGUAGUAGAUUGUUUCUCUUAGUGGAAAAUAAUCAGAGAGUGAGAUUUUGGAAGGACAAGUGAUGUGGAGAUGAGCCACUUUGUGUUUCCUUCCUUUCCUUAUCUGCUUAGCCAUAUCUAAUGAAGCUUGGGUGGCAAAUGCUUGGAACUUGGAAGGUAAAAGGGGUGAAUGGACUCCUUGGUUCUCUAGGCCCUUUAAUGAUUGAGAUAAUGAUUGAGAAGUGGAAAGUGUGGAGCGCUUUCUGAUGAAGCUCCAAGCAAACAGGGUGUAUAGGGAUGUGGAAGGUAGGGUGAUUUGGACGGUUUUGAGAAUCCAGAACUUUUCGGUUAAAUCUCUCCAUUUUGUUUUGGAGCCCGGUGACUGUCUAUUGUUCCCGAGAAGUAUCAUUUGGAGAUCUUGUGUGCUACCUAAGAUGGCUUUUUUCGCGUGGGAGGCAACAUGAGGGAAAACUUUAACUUUGGAUCAGGUCCAAAGAAGGGGAUUUUCUUUAGCAAACAAAUGUUUUCUUUGCCACUUUGAAGAAAAAACUAUUGAUCACAUUUUUUUUCACUGUGCAAAGAUGUGGAUUCAAAGGUAACUACUUUUUUCUUUCUUUGGGGUGACUUAGGUUAUUUUCUAUUUGGUUAAGGAGACACUCCUUGGGUGGCAUGGUUCCUUUAUGGGUAAAAUCCGCAAAAAGUCUUAGAAGGUAGCCCCUUUAUGUAUCUUUUGGACGGUGUGGAAAGAAAGGAAUCUACUAGCAUUUGAUAAUGCGGAGUUCUUGGUCCAAAGGAUGAAAAAUUCUUUUGUUUGUAAUUUGUGGUCUUGGUCUAGGGUGUCUAUACAUAUGAGCUCUAUUUCUCUUGUUAACUUUAUUGAUUGACUAGGUUUUGAGUGAGGAUAGGUAAUGUUUUUUGUUUUUCUCCCUAUUUCACUUGGGUGAGCCUUUGGGUGGCCGGCAUAUACUUCCUUUAUACUUUAGGAUGCUGUCUUGGUGUUUCCCUUUUUUUUUUUUUUUUUACAUAUAUAUAUACUUUCUAAUCUUACCUAUAUAUAAAAAAAUUUAUAGUUUUGAUAGGUUUUCUUUAUCGGGGGUUUUCAAAAUAAUCUUAUUGUUAGUAGUUAAAAAGUCCACCAUUUCUUUUUUGUAGGCAAAUGAGAAUUAGUAUUAGUAGUGCCUAAGAGGAGACAUGCCAAACUACACACGAUGUAUAAAGUAGACGCCUAAUUUAAGUGAGACGAGGUCAACAAAAAGGCACCCUUUCCUUACUUGAAGCUUAGCUAAUCUAUAAGAUUUAUCAGACAUUGAUUGGUUCUCUAUGUAUGCACUAACUCAAUUCACAGAAGUAUACAUGAAAUCAGAUUUGAUUGCUUGGUCAAAUUACUCAAUAUCAUUAAAUAACCUUCUAUUCCUUAACUUGCCAAGAGUCUAAAACAAGUACAAUGGAGCAGCUCUCCUAGUUUUUUUUUUUCUGCUUCUUGCCUGCAAAAGACUCGUGCCACCCCAAAAGGUUCUCUUUCACAUAAGAGUGCAUUACCCAAACCUCUCCAAAGAGAGAAUAUCAAUUGCCCCAACAUUCUAGCUUUGGAACAGUGAAGUAGCAGAUGGUCCAUUGUUUCCUCUUCACCUUUGUACAAAAAACACCUAUUUGACAAAUUCCAUCCCCUCCUUUGGGCUGAUCAAGUGUUAGAAUUCUGCCCUAAGUUGCUUCCCUAGUAAAGAAACCUACCUUCAUAGGUGCCCACGUACUCCACACUACACCCUUUGGGAAAGGCUUCCAAUCUCCCAUUGUUAAACAUGCAUAUAGAGACCUAACCGAGAAAUUGCCAUGCUUGGUUUCAUUCCUACUCAAUUUGUCUUCCUCUUCCCUUCUAAUUGGCAAGGAAUGGAGUUUCCGUCAUAAGAAAUUCUCAACUUCCACGAGUUCCCAAUCAUUGAAUUUCCCAGAAAAAUUGGGUUUCCAACCCCUUCCCCACCUUGCUCCCUCACAUCCGCUACCCAAUCAUUUUUGUCCAAAGCUAUAGAGAAUAAAGUUAGGAAGGCUCAUUCCAAGGGUAAAUCAUCACACCAAAUAUCAUUUCAAAAUUUUACCCUUUUCCCAUUCCCAACUUUGGAAUGAUACCUGCUUUUAACAACCUCCCACCCUUUUCUAAUAGCUUUCCUUUGUGAUUUGAAUCUAUAAGGACUUUCUUUUUAUUGCAAAUCUCCAACUCCACUUACCAAGCAAAUCCUUGUUUAAAAUGGAUUAAAGAGCUCACCUGUGUUUGAUUUAAAAUUGUUUAGUUUGAUGAUAUCUCAUUGUGUGCCCUUCUCAUGUGGGACAAAUGGACAAUUUCUAAAGCACUUUAAGCAUUAUCUUCUCUGAAAAUAACAUCCAUCUUGGUUUUCUGAAAACAAGAAAACACAAUUGUUAUGGAAGUCUCCAAUUUUCUUUGGCUAACCCGGGUCACCUUGGCAAUAUUGGUUCCCUUCAGAAUUUUACUAUGCUAAUAAAGAAGAAUCAUGAGCAUUUUUCUUGAGUCAAUGGGAAGCUUUCAAGCUUAUAGUUUGUAUUUUUUAUUGUGGAAGGUGAUAUUUCCAACAUCAUCUAGUGGAGUAAAGAUUGUGGUGUAAAAGCUUGUAGACUCUCUGUCCUUUUGAAUAAGCUGUAGGUAUUCCUGAUUAGUUGGAUGUUUCUUAUCUAUGGGUUCCUGAGUUGCUUAUUGUGAAGUUAAUUUUAAUGCUGACAGUGGAGCUGUGACUUUUUACUAUGUGGGACCUUGAUGUUACCCUAGUUUAUUGUUCUAAUAGUUUUCAUUGUUUUAUUCUAUUUUUUCUUCUUUUUAUUGGCCUCAUCUCUUUGAGGAUUUUUUUUUCCUUCUUUAAUCUUCUUCUAUUAGACCUUGUCUUUGUAUUUUUAUCUUCCUGUUAAUAAGUUUAGUUGCCCAAUUCAACAAUUGGCUGCUAUGUUUAUAGGCAUUUUAACUUUGUUUGAUAUGCCCCACUUUUUACUCUCAGAAUCUGGGAUGGAUAAUCUCUGCAAGAUAUUAAGCACUUUAGUUCACUUUCUAAAAAAAUGGUUGAUUUUGGUAUUUUAAAUUCAUUAACUUUCAGUAGCUGCUUAUAUGUUGUGUGAUUGCUCAAAAAAUCUUACCCCUUCUAAAUAGUCCUCAGCAUCUAGUUGUACAUAAAAUAUUUCUUUAAAGUUCAAAUUGCAUAAUUUGUUUCCAUUAAUAUUUAUCCACUGUAAUAUAUUAUUAUUAUUAUUAUGUCAUUAUUUACCUACUAGAGAUGCACUUUUUUAAUUAUUUUUAUUUUUUAAAUAAAAUAAAAAAUGAAAUAUUCCAUCUAUAUUUGUUUUGGUUUUUUUCUUGCAAUACCAGUUCCCCAAUGCCAUGACAGGCACAACCGUAAAGUAAGAUACUUUUAGGAAACAAUUAUGAAUUAGUAAUGGAUGAAAUUUCACAUUUGUGCUUGUAGAUGGUGCAAUUCUCUCUCUUAUAAAAUUUGAAAUUUGAUGUUUGCAUUUUAUUUCAGAGUUUACAUUUACGGAAGUCAGCUCCGUUCAAGCGAGCACAAGUAAAGUUAUCUGUUGCCAAUUCUCAUCAGAUGGAAAACUGCUUGCUAGUGGCGGCCAUGAUAAAAAGGUAAGUGCCAAGAGGAUUAAAGUAUCCUAUAUUAUUAAAAGUGAAUGUUGAAGAGCACUAAACAUGUGAUGAAGGGGGAGCUGUAAUGCUUCAUCAUGUUGCAUAGUUAGGAUCAUAGAAGAAUAACUGAACUACUUUUCUUAAUGGUUUUAAAUGCAGGCAGUAUUGUGGUAUACAGACACUUUAAAGACAAAAACUACACUUGAAGAACAUUCAAUGUUAAUCACUGAUGUCCGUUUCAGUCCGAGCAUGCUGCGUCUUGCAACAUCUUCAUUGGACAAAACCGUCAGGGUUUGGGAUGCUGACAGUGUCAGUGGACUAGUUCUUCUUUUUGUAGUUCUGUGUGUUUUCUUUGGUUUUCUAAUGUUAGUGUUUUUGUAAGAAUAUUUUGCUUCUGAAUGUUCUUUCUGGAGCAUUGGUUUCUAUCUAACAAGUAUUGGAGUUGACCUGGUUACAUCUAAGAUUAUGUUGACCUAUCAAGUUUGUCAACUUGGUGGUGUUUGAUUGCUCAUUUAUUGUACUGUUUUUGUGAGAGAAUGCAUUUUACAUAUUUAUAUUAGAAAGUUGGUUACUUGAAGAUAACAAAAUUGAAACUGUGCAUGUUUUUGGCUGUUUGUUUGUAAACCAUGACUUCUAAACUGUGAUUGUUUUCCUGUUGGUGUGGGGUGGGGGCUGGUGGUGGUGGAGUUCCCUAGUUUAGUUUGUCAACAAUGAAUAGAAAGAAGAGAGGAGGGCUGUUAGGAGGGAGGAGUUUUCUUUGUGCCCACAAAAAAUGAUCGCCUUAAAAGAUUGAGGUGAUUUGGUGAGAAGAAAGAGAGAUUAAGCACCACUUUCCUACACUGGAUUUUUUUUUUUUUUUUUUUACCAAGGAGCCUAAUGUGGUUCAUUAUUCUAUUUCUUUUUUCCUUUUCUCUCAUCUUUAAGUGGUGGGAAAAAAGAAAAGAUUACUAGUGUUAAUAGGAACAUGUUUUUCUUUUACAUCUUUUUUGUGUUUUGGGGUUGAGAUUGUUUGAAGAAUAAUGCAUCCUUCAGUUUGUACUGUUACAUUUAUUCCUGUCAAAUCAAUUGUUUGUUUCAAUCACAAAAGGAAAAAAAUGUUAAAAUUUAGUACAUUGCACCAUACAAUUGACAUAUAAAUGAAGAUGGGGGCAUUUCUCCUCUGUUGUUGCCUCGUAGCUCAAAUAGUGUUUUCAUGCUUUCCAGUAUAUGUUGGGAUGUUUGCAAUGCUGUGGGGUGGUAUUCUGCAUCAUGCAACAAUGCAAAUGAUCAAGAUGAUACUUGCCAGAUUAGCGCUUUCAUUUUUUGAUGCAUUUACAGAUGAACAAUGAAUACCUAGCAUAUAUUUUGGUUGGUGAUAGUUAGUGAAUCAGGCUGAUGCUGUGAUAUAUCACCUUUAGAAAAGAUACGGGAAAUAUUUACAAUAAGAUUUCUAACAUGUAUUAUUUCCCCUACUUUUAAAACUUAUGAUAGCUUAGCCAAGGGAUUGGCCGUGAUGGACGUGUAAUGCUAUUACAAAAAGUGAUUAUAUUCCACUCCUUUACCAAGGUCUAGGGAUAAUUAUUGACGCAUGCUAAUUGUACACAUCUGGCAUCCUUGGGUGGUGCACCCUCUAUCAUACAUUUGCCCAGAAAAAAAAAAAAAAAAGAAAGAAAAAUCAUCUUCUCUGCUUUCAUGAACUGGCAUUUCUUCAUUAAUGAAAUAUUGGGGAAUUUACAUUGUCCUCUUAGUUGUGCAGCUUGUGCCACAACAUCAACUUGAUUGCGAAACCUCCCAAUUCUAUCAGUUAUCAAUUCAAUGUUUUUAAUGAUAAAAUAAAUAGAUUAUAUAUAUAUAUGUAUGGUAAUAGGCACAUGUUAAGGGUACCAUACCUGUGUGCUUGUAUGUAUGGGUGCACAGGUAUGUGGACAUAUGAGUGUGUGUACUGUUUCACUAAGAAAUAGAUCUGCAUAUAAUUUGGAUUUCAUGUUUAAAUACAAUGUGAUUUGUGCGUGUACGCAUUUAUUGCUUAUAGUGUAAUGUGCCAGGGCUACCUUUUGUCCUUAUUUGCAUUAUUCAUAUGGAUGUGAGAUUUGUAAUUUGUGUACUGGGCCUACUGGCUUAUUACUGACAGCUGCUUGUUUUUAUUCCUUGUAAAUUGGCUGUACCGUCAAAUCUUUUACUUUUUAAUUUUCCUUUUAGUCUGUCUAUAUGCUUAUGUGUUGGUAUGACUCCUAAUUGUACUUGAUGUCGUCUCAACUUUAUAUAUGACUUACUCUGCAGACUAGUUACUCGCUACGUACUUUUACUGGACAUUCUGCGUCUGUUAUGUCGUUGGACUUCCACCCGAAUACAGAUGAUCUCAUCUGCUCUUGUGAUGGAGAUGGUGAGAUACGAUACUGGGUUAUUAAGAACGCUUGCUGUGCAAGGGUAUUCAAGGUAGAAACUAGUUCAUGUUGGUUUAUGCAUUUCAUAAAUUAUGUAAGCCUUGGAGGGGUAUGGACAUUCUUGGAGAAUUCUAAUUUUCUUCAUUUCAAUUAGGGUGGUAUAGUCCAAAUUAGAUUUCAACCUCGUCAUGGAAGAUAUCUUGCAGCAGCUGCAGAGAACGUUGUAUCAAUACUGGAUGUGGAGACACAAGCUUGUCGGCAUUCAUUACAGGUUAGUAUAUUUUUCAAUGUCAUUAUACAAUUUAACCAAGGACAAUAUGGAAAAAUGCCUAUAAAGAAAGUGUCAUUCUUUUUUCAGAGAAAAAAAAAGGAGAAAGCAAAUGACACUUCAAGAACUUUCAUAAAAAAAGUGUCAUUCUUCUUUCUUUUUUUUUUUUUAAAUUUAAUUUAAAUCUUGUAGAGUUAUUUUAUGUGGAAUCAAAUUUGGGACUUCCCUCUCGUAAUCCCACUUGAGCCACUCCCCCUCCUCUCUCUCUCUCUCUCUCUUUCUUCCCUUUUCUGUUUUCUUGUUUUGUGGUUCCCUGAUGGGACAUAAGUUUCUCUUGUGAUAUAUAUACAAUACAACACAUGAUACAUGGUACUAUGAUACUGGUGCUUUUGACUAUCUUUGGUAAUUUCUUAAAAAUUAAACUUGACUUUCCUUUAGAAGUGCCCCUCUGGGCAGUAACUCAGCAGUAGUGAUCUAUGGCAUUGGACUAGAGGGCUUGAGUUUGAGCCUCCCAAGUAACAAAGUGUUGUAGGGUAGAGGGAGAGGGGGGGUGGGCAGUUGGAAUAACUGCCUCACUGUUGGAGUGAAUUCUCAAUUCUCAGGGGAAAAAAAGGAAAGCUCAGAUUUGAAAAAUAUUUUCUUACAAAAAAUUAUUAUAUUAAUUUAGAAUAUAAUUUACGUUCAGAAAUGGAUGAUGAAAAAGAAGGGAUAAGAUGAUUCUGCAAGAGAACACUGCAUAUGUGUUAUUAAAGGACCAUGUGAAAGAUUAUAGCUUAGGUAUGAUUAUAUCCAUAAUGAAUAUUUGGAAGGUGCUAUGCGAGUGAUUUGAUCGAUGUGCUCUUGAAGAUAAUGAUGAAUGAACAGUUUUACUCAAUAUAUUAAUUUCUUUUUCAAAUGUUUUUUCUUUUAGGGGGAGGACAUUUUUUAUGAGUUCACAGUACAGAAGAAUAUGAAAAUGAUGUAAAAUACAAUUUAUUAGCUCACAAGUAUGUUAUACUGGAUUUACAGAAAGAAUGGAUUCUGAAAGGUGGGUUCCAAUAAUUAUGUGUCAAUCACUUUUUCCCUUGAAAAUCUCCUAAUGGAUGGGUUUGGUGGUUUCCUUUAUAAGGUGGAGAAUUCCAAAUUCAAUGAUUUAGAAUUUGCUUUUAUUUGUAAAAAGGGUUCUCCCAUUUAUGAAUUGUUGAAAAGGACUUUGUGUUGAGGAUUUUUUCUGCUAGAAUGAUCUGAUUAUUGCUCAUUGGAUAUAGAAAAUUUGACCCUCUGAAUUUUAUCAAUCUGCAAAUUCCUUACUACUCGUAUUUGUGCCAUUUUAAUUGGAAAUAUAUUUGAAAAUUUAGUAGAAUUGCCUUUUCUAUUUGAAAGAUACCUUAUUGUAUAUUUAGUCACUUAUUCAAACUGUAAUACAAUUCAGAAUUCAUUUUGAUGUAUUUCAAAAAUAAUAUGAAGUAGAAAAUUAAGAUAACUUUCAAAUCUCAAAAGCUGAGACAGGUUAUUUUAAAAUUGAACAUAUAUGCGGGUUUGAGAAAUUCAAUGUUUUUUCUAUACUUUAUAAAUGCUAUUUAGUUGAUGACAUUUGUAGUAUAGAUAGAUGGAUACAUGGAUAGAUAGACUUUUGAAAGUUCUUAGGAUAUAAAUAUCCAUCUUCUGGACCUUGAUGAGUUCUGAUCAUUAUCAUGUAAAAAAUUUUCUUCUCCUUGUUGUCCCUUUUCCUUUUUCUUUCUGAUAAAGAAAUGAGUCAAAUAUUCUAAUGAAAGCACCAGAAAUAGGUGCCCCCUGGUAUACAUGAUGUCUCUUAUAUGUGAUAGGCAAUUCUGACAUGGGUUUGUAAUGCUAGGGACAUACGGAACCAAUUCAUUCUGUCUGCUGGGAUCCUUCUGGUGAGUUCUUGGCAUCAGUAAGUGUGGAUUCUAUCAGAGUUUGGACGCUUGGGUCAGGAAACGAAGGGGAGUGCGUUCAUGAGUUGAGUUGUAAUGACAAGAAGUUCCACUCCUGUGUUUUUCACCCAACAUAUUCGUCAUUGCUGGUCAUCGGUUGUUACCAGGCAAGUCAUUUGUCCUUUAUUGCUUAAAUUCUUAUACUUGUUUAUUGUUUACUUGAGCAUUAGUCAGAGCUAUAUUUUUCUCUAUGGUAUUGCUUUAUGUGCAAAAGUAUUCAGUUAAUUUAAGAUUCUAAUAAAGAUGGCAUUAAACCUGCAUGGGUCAUACUGCCAUAAGUAGGGAGAUUUUGUUAAAUCUAAAACAGGAAUCCUUAGAUCUUUACUCAAACACCUAUACCUACCUUUUGUUGGGAAUUGUCCCAAAUUCCUAAUUAGUAAAUAUUCCUUUUUGUAAAGAAUAUUGUAUAGAAUAUUUCUAGGUUGAUAUAUUAUUGUAAUAUUAGACUUCCUUAUAGAAUAAGGAAGGUUGUUGGAAAUAUCUCUAUAAAUAUUCUAGGUCAUGAGGGGAAAAAGUUAUGAGAUGGAGAUGGGCCUAUAGAGACUAUACGAGGUGGAUAGAGAUGUGAGGAAGAACGGGAGGUACCUGGUGGAGCGAGAGGGCUCGUAGUAAGGUAUGGAUACAAGGAGUGGGGAAACAUGGGAUGUUUUGGGAACCCAAUAGUUGUAUCUGGUUCUAUCCUCUGUAAUAUUCUCUAUUGUAUAGUGAAAUUAUUCUCUCUCAUCCGUGGACGUAGGCAUGGUUGGCCGAACCACGUUAAAACCUCGUGUACCGUAUGUGUGAUUGUUUUAUCUUUGUGUUCUUGAACUAACAUUGUUGGCAUCAAAGCUUUCGCUGGCACUACACCUUUUCCCUUGUACAUUUAUUCAGUAAAUAAACUGUCAGGACCCAUCAAUAACUCAAAUAUCCAUAAGCACAAUUUCCCUCUAUCUUUUCCAGCAAAUAAACUGUCAGGACCCCAUAGGUUUCUGCAUCCCUUUUGAAAGAUCUAAAUGGAAAAAUGAGUGCAUUGUGAAUUUAGACCAUCUAAUUUUCCUUAUAUUUCCAACAGUAGAGAUUUUCUUGAAGAGGCCAUGCAAGUCCUUGAACUUCAAAGAAUUUUCUUAUACUUUCUCUUGUAUCUUCUCUACUUCUUAUCAUAUUCUAUGUUUCAGGUUAUGUGAAAUUUGUAUUAUAUUGCAAAUGUUUUGUUGAAGUAUCCAAACCUAUGGGUUUUGUCUAUGUUGGGUAUGGGUUUGGGUUAAAGGGUGUUGGUUGCUUCCUCUUUUAUCAGUUGGAUCAGUCAAGUAAACCAUUAAAUGUUUAGUAACCCAUAAAGCUGUCUUGGCUUGAUUUCUAAUCAUAUUAGUAUUGUUAUUUGCUACAGUCUCUAGAGCUUUGGAACAUGAGCGAGAACAAGACAAUGACUCUUUCAGCUCAUGAUGGACUAAUAGCUGCCUUGGCUGUAUCAACUGUGUCUGGCUUGGUUGCUUCAGCUAGCCAUGACAAGAUUGUCAAGCUCUGGAAGUGAUUCAAUUGUUUUUGUCAUGGUAAAAACUGCCUCUGCAUUUCAGGGACUAGUUUUCUUUUCAGUGUUUGAUCAAAUGCUGGUUUAGUAUACACAUAUUUUGGUUGAUCAUUCUGUCUGUUUUGUGUUUUGCUUUUUUGGAUCUCAACUUUAUCUCCUCGUAGUCCUGGAUAUUGACCUUGUAUUGUUGCUGUGUUAUGUCUAUCAUAUUACUCUUUGCUAACAUUGGACUUUCAAUUUGCGUUUUAAGAAACGAUCGUAAU